AUCUACGGCCAUGCCACCCUGAACAUGCCUGAUCUCGUCUGAUCUCGGAAGCUAAGCAGGGUCGGGCCUGGUUAGUACUUGGAUGGGAGACCAGUUAGGAAUACCAGGUGCUGUAGGCA
rnacentral:rRNA from 1 species